CCACAAUGGGCGCAAGCCUGAUGGAGCAACACCGCGUGAGGUGAAGAAGGGUUUACGGCUCGUAAAGCUCUGUUGUUAAAGAAGAACACGUAUGAGAGUAACUAGUUCAUACGUUGACGGUAUUUAACCAGAAAGUACACGGCUAACUACGUGCCAGCAGCCGCAGUAAUACGUAGGUGGCAAGCGUUAUCCGGAUUUAUUGGGCGUAAGAGAGUGCAGGCGGUUUUCUAAGUCUGAUGUGAAAGCCUUCGGCUUAACCCGGAGAAGUGCAUCGGAAACUGGAUAACUUGAGUGCAGAAGAGGGUAGUGGAACUCCAUGUGUAGCGGUGGAAUGCGUAGAUAUAUGGAAGAACACCAGUGGCGAAGGCGGCUACCUGGUCUGCAACUGACGCUGAGACUCGAAAGCAUGGGUAGCGAACAGGAUUAGAUACCCUGGUAG
rnacentral:rRNA from 1 species